GUAGUCCUGGCCGUAAACGAUGGAUGUUAGGUGUAGUGAUAACUUCGCUGCACCCCAGCUAACGCGUUAAACAUCCCGCCUGGGGAGUACGGGCGCAAGCCUGAAACUCAAAGGAAUUGGCGGGGGCCCGCACAACCGGUGGAGCGUCUGGUUUAAUUCGAUGCUAACCGAAAAACCUUACCAGGGUUUGAAAUGGUAGGAAAGGCUGUCGAAAGACAGCCGUGUUUCCCUUUUGGGAGAAAUCCUACCACAGGUGGUGCAUGGCCGUCGUCAGCUCGUGUUGUGAGAUGUUGGGUUAAGUCCCGCAACGAGCGCAACCCUUGUCCUUAUUUGCUUCCUCUUAUGAGGUGCUCUAUAAGGAGACUGCCGGCGACAAGCCGGAGGAAGGAGGGGACGACGUCAGGUCAGUAUGCCCUUUAUGCUCUGGGCUACACAGGCGCUACAGUGGCAAGGACAAUGAGUGGCAAGAGUGCAAGCUCAAGCUAAUCUCACAAACCUUGUCGUGGUGCGAAUUGAAGGUUGAAACUCACCUUCAUGAAGCCGGAAUCGGUAGUAAUGGCGUAUCAGCUAUGUCGCCGUGAAUACGUUCCCGGGCCUUGCACACACCGCCCGUCACGCCACGGAAGCUGGUGUUUUCGGAAGUCCUCAAGCUAACCCGCAAGGGAGGCAGAGGCCGAUGAAAACGUCGGUAACUGGGGCGAAGUCGUAACAAGGUAGCCGUAGGGGAACCUGCGGCUGGAUCACCUCC
rnacentral:rRNA from 1 species